rfam:Gossypium arboreum cultivar AKA8401 contig_116622_1, whole genome shotgun sequence.
AAGUCCUUGGUGAGGGCACCUUCUUAGUAAGUCCUUGUAUCUCUCCCAUGCAUUGUAAAGUGUUUCUAAAUUCAUCUGCAUAAAAGAAGAGAUAUCAUUACGAAACUU